UUUAAGUUGUGAUGAUCUUAGUGGUCUUUCCAACCUUAAUGAUUUUAUGAUAAUGGAAGCAUAGCCACUCAUUAGAUUCUACCUAAUGGCCUUUGGAAAGGCUAACAAGAUGAGUUUAUCUUGAAGGUGAGGAAGACCGACGUCUUGCCCGUUAAGCUGCCAAAUUCAGAGCUACAAUUUCACCUUAGCUAUUCGGAUGAUGCAUACAGCUCAAGUGGAACUGUGAUAAUGCUAUAAGAAAAAGAGCUGUAUCUGGACUAUAAGCCUGUGUUUUCUUCAACCUCAUUACUUUAUCUUUAUUUGGCAUCAUUCAGAUCAGUUGGACCAAAAUGUUUUAAGAGCAUGUGUUGGGGCAAUAGAAUACAAUCACACUGGUUUAUACUUCUCUCUCAAGAGGCUGAGGCAACAUUAACCCUUCUGGAACCUGGGGUUGUUUCUUUUACUACCAAAGUUGGCACUGACUUUGCUGUAUGAAUUAACAACUCAAUCCUCUUGUCUAGAAAAGUUUGAGGCCACCUUGCUGUGUUUUACACAAUACUUUAGGUUAAGCUGACCCUUGCAUACUUGCAUUGGAAGUUUCAGCUGCACUAAAAAUGCUUCUGCAUAGCAGAGCUGCCUACAGCAGCAUGGAUUUCACAGGGUUAUUGGUUAGUAAAGCUCAUGCUUGGUGAUUUAAUCUGGAUCCAGGGUUUAUUUGCUCUUUCCGUAAUCAGACUAGAAAGUGUCAGAUGUUCUCACAAGAUCUCAGUCUUUCUCAACUCUCGAAUCCAAUAAGAGCUUGCUGGUUUCAAGCCAUGAAGUUUGGAAAUACGUGCCUAAAGUAAAAUAGUGAACCAAACUAGUUGGAAUGCUUGGAAAGCUUGUUGAAACGUGUGGUUCUCAGGUAUCAAACCCAUUUUUCUUCCCACUCAUUUUACAAGCUUCUAGCCAAGACUUAUCAUGGCCAGAAGCCUCUAAACUAGGCCAUAAUAGAGACAGGCAGACGUUAUUAGCACUGUGGAUCGAAGCUGUCACCUGAGGCACUUCCUAGCAAAGGUUCUCAAGCCAAGAGCUCUGCUCCAGAUGAAAUGCCUCUGACCUUUUGUUAAUUAACAAAUUAACUGGGAGCAGAUAUAUUUCCAAGACUGUCCAGCUCCUACAUGCCUGCAUGGAAACAUCAGCUUCAUCUUCAUCAGCCCAGGUCUGAUGGGGCUGCCUAUCCAAGUUGCUGCUUCCUCAGGGAACAACAAGUUCAAGGCCAGGGCAAGAAAUUUCUGUGAGAAAGUCUGUAAGCGGUGAAAGACUUCCACAUUUGUUAAUUAGCUCUGCAAUGAGCAGUGUGUUUGUCAGUUAAACCCAUUCCAUACUCUCUGCAGGCCUCCAUACAAGGGAAAAUCCACCUGUAUCUUGCCCUCCCAGCUCACUCUCCCUGACCAAAUCUGAUGCUGCUGCAUCAUUCCAUGGUGCCUCCUCUCAUCUUUCUUCAUGUGUUCUUAUGAGCUUAAAGCUUGUAAGUCAGAAGACUUUUUUCAGUUAACUAUUCUGGUCAUGAAAUCUGACUGUCUGGAUCUGAUGGGGACCUUAUCUUCUAUUAGGCUUUAUCUUCCUUCAUCAUCACUUCUUGGUCUAACCUGGACAGAUCUGCCCCUACCUACUCACUCAUAGGAGGUUGCUCCAUGGAGUGAAAGAUUUUCAAGGUGACUGGGAGCUUUUCCUUUAUCAGAAACAGCCUUGUCCAUCCUCCUUCCUUCCUCUUACCAGCACUGAUGUGGGAAUAAAGUUUCUGGCACUGCUACUGAACUGUAAAUUGACUUCAGGUGAAUCUUCUCACAUUUAUUUAUUAUUUUUAUCCUUUCUCUAAUCUGUUGAGAUUGUCAGAGUCUUUUAGGUCAAGGAUUGUGUUAAUAUCUGAGCAUAGCGGAACCAUACUGUGUUUCAUUAUCACUGUGCAGUUCAAAGCCAGGUCAGAUUCAGCACCUUUUCCAAACUGUGAGAUGGUAGGAGCCAGACUCUUGCAAUUAAAUCAAAUCAAGAAUGUAAGCAUGCCUACAGACACAAUAUUCUCAGGAGUAUCUUCUUAACCUCUAGUACUACAUACAGGAGUCUUGGGGUUGUUGGUCUUUGUUCUUUGAUUGUUUGUGUGUGCCUCCACCAGGUGCUAAGAAUAAAUGAAACGAAGACAUUGUUUUUAUGUAUUCACUCCAUCCUCUCUUCCCUUUCCUCAUUGGCAGCUCCAUCGAUCAGCCUCCCACACUGGUGAAACGGUCGUUGAGACCUCCAGUGAAUUUGCUCUGUGGAAAAGCAGAAGCCAUGAAAACAGGAGGAAAGAAUAACAGUUUAACACUGACCACAGCAGAGAUGGAAGUGCUGUGCGUGAAGCAUUUUUAAAGGCAACUUGCUGAAGGCUCUGCUUCUCUCUCAUAAGAACAUUCAUGCAGUUUUUACUCUCUUGGAUAGAAGGAGUGGACUUCUUCCAGGCAGGGAAUGUGCACUGGUGCUUCAUGUGAUUUUCUGCAUCCACCCAAAAAUGAGCAGACGGCUGGCACUGCAAUUCAGGAGUAGAUUUUCACUUAGGUAACAAGCACUGGAGAACAGUCCACUGGGAAAUCAUGUGAGAGUGGGUUCAUGUGACAGAUCUUUCUGCAACUUGUCAUGCCACGAAUAGCAGAGCAACAGCCUUUCAGCACUCAACCAUGUCACUGCCUGCAUCACUUUGAUGGAACUGGGUUGAGUGCCUGCUCGUGGAAACAAGGAAAAAGUUAACCAGCUCUCCUUGUCUCAGGAAAAAGGUUGUACCAAGCACCAGAGACCAGCUGAGGUCUGAAUCCCAGGGAACAGUGCAACAGCUGGAUGAAAAAGCUGGAAGAUUGAAGUGGAGAUAUCACGAAUGAAAAGAAGGAUCGUCUUGUCAUCUUGGGCUCUGUUGUCAGUCUAUCAAAAGUGCUACAGGGAACAGAUGCACAGAGCCAGCACAUUUCGCAUCAUAGAGAUCAGAUUCAUGGAAAAGUCUUUGGGCUGAUUCUGAUUUUACCUGGCUUCACCUAUAAAUACUUGGAGGCUCCUGGAUGCUGCAGGGAAGCAUUCACAAGGACAAAUAAAUCUGUUCUUCCAAGUUCCAUAGGAGGAGUUGCAUGGUACAUCAUCAGGAAGGGAAUCUGAAAUCUGUUUGGCACCGUGGAAAGUGAUCAAAUUGUCCUAUAGAUCAAGUGAGGAGGAGAAAGAAGUACGGCAUUGGAUCCCCAUGUUCAACUGUCCUUCUGCAAGGAUGGAGAGAUACUCUGUUUACCCUUCUGGUAUGCAGCAGAAGUGAUUUCACAUCAAGAAGAAGCAAGAUGAUAUUGCGUUAUGACAACUGUUCUGAGUCAUUGUGAGGACUAGUCAAGAAAACAACAACAGUGAUGGGAUAGCGUGAGAAGACAAAACAAGAGGAAAGUCCAGAAGAUACCUGGAUCAUUAAUAAUUUUAUUAAUAAAAUAGUAAAUAAUUAUAUAAUGAUGCAAUUUUCCCCUUUUCUGUCCUUGUGUUUAUGGGACACAAUGUUUAAACCCAAGUGCAUCAAUGUUUAUAGAGAUUGUUUCUCACAGCUUAGAAAAUGAAAGUUCCAGGAGAUCCCAUCAUUCCCAAGGUAAUUAACUUCAGACCUAACACCCUGAUACGUAACAUCAUAUGAAAUAUUCACUCAUUCAACACUGAGCAGGCAUUGUGAUGGUGUUGCAAUUGUUCUUGAAUCACAGAAGAAUGUUUCUCUUCUUAUGGAGCAGAACUGUGGCUUACAACUCACCCCUUGCUAUGACAUCUAGGUCCUGUGUGUGGGCAUACAGAACAAGUCAGCACAUUCAAGAAACAAAGGGAUGACUGAGUUGCUGCAAAUGAGGACACAGUCAAGUGUUUGUGGGAUCGACACCUUAAUAAGACAUUGCCUCCUUCUUUCCUUCACACCAUGAGAUUUUGGUCACUUUCUCUGACAGUAAUUAUCUUCCUCUACACACUACAUUUCUGCAGUGAUUUUCCAUGGUAUAGAAAAAAAGCAUUUAAUAAUAAGAAUUUUUUUCCCUCAGUAGUAAAGGAAAUGCAUCAUAUUCCCAAGUCAAAUAUCUCAAUUUUUUAAAGCAAAUCUCUUCUUCAUUCCUUCAGUAUUUCGUCAGCAGAAAUUAAGUUGGCAGAGAAAUAUGAUGACCACAUAGUCCAGUUUCCAUACUUCUAUUCCUGAGAGCUCUCAGUCAAGCAUCUGCUAUUGAACAGUGACUGCAGCCAAGAGUAUGGAGUGCUGGUGAUGCUAAAAGGGAGUUUUGAGGGAGAGACGGCAGCUCGGUGGUGGAGAUACUCAUUUUCUCCUUUAAAAAUCACUUAAUGAGGAAGAUAUGACUGUUGGGUCUCUAGAAAGACAAGUUCUCCAGAAUAACCUAUCUGCAUACUGGUGUGCCAAACAUAAAUGGAUGGAGAGCAGCUGGAAAAUGAACACACAUUUUGGAUUGUGGAGAGGUGACUGAAGGGUAAGCCCAGAAAAAAAUUCAUCCACUGCUUUGUGCUUACAUUAAGGCUGCAGUCCAGUCCUUGGCCAAGGAUGGAAAUCCAUCAGGCUGCUCCCAAGGCAGGCAGCAAGCUCCUUCCUGGGGCUAAAAAUGUUUGAAUUUGUUUGGUAUCCCUUGAAGACUAAGAGGCAGUGCCAGAUAGGAUAAAAGUUAAAAUAGGAUACAUUCAAAUGCUGACAGGGUGGUGUCUGAGACAGAAUGUGUUUAAAAAGAGGAAAUGAGAAAUACAUCUAAAAAAACAAAUGGAUAUUGGCUGGAGACUUGAGGAAGAGGACUGAACUGACCCAAGGCUGGGUGCUGUUUCACUGGCUUCUUUUGUGUUCACUGAGAUGAAUUUGGCUCAAAUUACAUAAAUGACAAAAACAGGUCAGAAGAUAAUUAUCGAUGUUAUUUGGACAGAGCCUUGCUCCUGGUGGUUGCUGUUCACAGCUAAGGCUCAGAGUUGGGUUCAUAAUACAACUGCCAAAGACUAAUAGUGCAGGUGAAUUGUUUCACAUCUAGUGUAGAGGAAUAUUGUAAAACCUGUAACAGUGUUGCUGGUAAAUCUGUGUUCAUUUUAAACUUCCAGAUGGUUUUACCAUUAACUCUGAUUUUCCAAACAAAACUGCCUCUAUUGCAACAUUAUCUGAGUUUGAAUUGUGGUUGUCUCAUCACUUGUGAUGGCCGGGACAAGCAGUUUCCUCUACUGCUGCAAGAAACAUGAUUUAUUAUUUGUAUUUAUUUUGUACUGUGCACCAGGAACAGCAAACUGGGAGUCUGAAUUAGGUCAGAAAGAGGCAGUGCUGGAUGCUGUGCUAGGAUGGGGCCCAGAUUUGGUUAACUGCUUUGCGCUGAAGGGAACUAUCACAUUAGCACUGAAACUGCUGCCUUGCGUGUAAUCUGGCAAGCCCACAAAUGAACUCUUGACACUGGCCUGUCCACUGGUGAUUGUGCACUGGGAUUUUCUACUCUCAGUCCCUGUUUUCUACAUGCACUUAAUGCUCUUGGCUGAUGCCUGGAGUCUUGGUAGGAUUCAAGGUGAACUUCCUUUCAGCUUACUGAGUUUGGAAAGGGAGUUCCCAUGGGAAGGGGGGCAGUGAGCAGAAAAGAUGAAACUGCAGAGCAACACGACCUCAUCUUCCUUCUUGAAGGCUUUCUCAGGGGCUCAGUGGGAUAGGGAAAGUUCUCAUGUUGUCUUUCAAGAACAGAUUACUUUUCAUCACUCAAACAGCUAGCACUGUGUGUGUGUGUGUAUUACACACAACCGGGAAAGGACUUUCAACAGAUUUCCUGGCCCUCUUGUUCAUGGACCCCAAACACCUUUCCCACGAAGUAAGGGUUCAGUGGAAACUCUGCUUUGCAAAAAUCCUGAAUGCCUUUUUUGCCUUUCUGACAUCAGUUUACAGGAAAGCACUGCAUGACCCUUUGUAAUAUUAGGAAGUAGCGUUGACUAAUAUGAAUGACUCUUGUGUUACUUUAAUUUCUAACCUCAGCUGAAAAAAUGGCACAAAUGAUUGCAUGGAGACCAAUAAAUUGCUAUGGUGGGGCAGAACAGCAUGAAGAGGUCACAGAGCUUUCAAAACCUGAGUUGUAAUGGCCAAAAAUUAAAACCUCAGGUGGAAAAACAAGAGAAAUUUCCCAAUGGUGCAUUGUACCACGCUUUUGAAAAAUACAUGUGAGGAGUGUCAGCAUCCCAUUAAGGAGGGUUGUUGGAACAAGGCUGAAGGAACCUCACUGAGCAGUACCAGUGACCCACUCGCUACAUAGGUCUGUGGCUCACGGCCAUUGCGAGUGCAUCUGAUUUUGUUCUUGAACAAUGACUGCUGAACAUCUUAAUCUUUUCUUCAUUCAGGUUAUUGUUAAAUGAUUUCUUCUCUGUCGUUUCUCCAGGGAAAUGUUAAAUUAUUCUUUUUCUUUUUUUUUCUUUUUGCCCAUCUGUCUACUGGUGUUUUUCUCUUCCUGGAAGAAAUCCAAGUUUUGUAAUUAAGGCACUGGGAACAGAAAGAGGUUUGAUCAGUGGAUAAAACAUAAUUAUAGCAGAUCUGUGACUCUCACUGCAGUAAAUAUUUUAACACCUUGGGCCAAAUCCUCCAUUAACACAAGCAGAGUUACUGGAGAUCAAACUGUCUUUACACCAAUUGGGAAUUGGUGUAAAACUGCUGGGACAACUCCACAACUGGUUGUGUGGGAAAACAUAAAAAAAUAAAUAAAUUAGUAAUUACCUUAGCAAGAUGAUGACGUUGCAACACUGUGAGCCCAAGAAGCUGUUCAGAUGAAAUAGGCUGGAUUCUUUUUUUUGUUUGUUUCUUUUUGUUUGUCUUGGUCAUUCUGUUUGUUUGGUUGGUUGGUUUUGGUUGUGUUUAUUUUGUUUGGGGUUUUUUUGUUUUGUUUUACAUCCUGUGACACACAUUUAUGCAUUUCCUCCCCUCCGACCCCCCAACUCUUUUUGAACAUCCUGAAUUAUGUCUGUAUGGGUAACGUUUUCAAAACUAAUCUCUUUUAUCGCAGUGUUGAUUAUGAUCUGGUUUGAAGUUCAGUCGCAUAUGUUAAUUAGGCAGUCACUGUAACUUAUACCUUAAUUGUUGGGCUCAGGUGAGGUUAUGUGGUAGAAACAUUUUAGACACAAAUAUUGCAGAGUUUGUUUUGGAAGAUAGCACUGAAUUGACUGAAUAACUCCUAAAUCCCACCAUUUCUGGAUAUCUUAUUAAUCUCCUGCUGAAGUCCAGAUCCUAUUUCCACACCACAGCUGGUAGCAACCACAAUUUCUGGCCUUCAUGACCCACAGAAAUGCCAAAGUGGGAUAUCAGCCAUGUCCCAAAAAGUUUGCCUGGCUGUGGGCCUUGGGGCAGCCUGAUUUAAGUAUUACUUAUUGGACCUACAGAGUACCAAAUGUUGUCCUGCUGUCUCCUCAUCCCUCCAGGCUGGAUUAAAGGCUAUGGAGGGACAUGCAGGAAAACUGUGUGCCACAGACAUGGGAAAAGAAGAAAUUCUGGGUGGAACAACCCCAGGCAUGUCAUGGAAAACUGCCAAGGAGACUGUAUGGAUGAACCAUAACACAGCCUGAGAAUCUGUCCCUUCCCAGGCAGUGUUGACAGUCCUUUCAGCUAGUCAAGGCUUACUUCCUAAAGGAUUUCAAGAUGUUACUGCUGAACAAAUAAAGAACUUGGU